rnacentral:tRNA from 1 species
UCUCUCAUGGUGCUAAUCGGUAAUACACUUGACUUGUAAUCAAGAAUUUUCAGUUCGAGUCUGAAUGGGAGAU